rnacentral:rRNA from 1 species
AGAGUUGAUCGGCUCAGGGACGCACGCUGGAGGCGUGCUAGGUCUUAACACAUGCAAGUCGAGCGGUGUUGAACCUCGGGGGGGGGGUAUCAGCGGCCGAACGGCUGGUAACACGUGAGAAGCAAACAAUGCCACUGACUCUGGGAUAGCCUCGGGAAACCGGGAUUAAUACCGAUAUGAUGCCUCGGCAUGGGUGGGGUGGAAAGUUUUCGGCAGGGAUGGGCUCUCGCGGCCUCUCAGCUUGUUGGUGGGGUGAUGGGCCACAAAGCGAGGCGACGACGGGGUAGCCGGCCGAGAGGGGUGAACGGCCCAAGGGACUGAGACACGGCCCCAGACUCCUACGGGAGGCAGCAAGGGGGGAAUAUUGCGCAAUGGGCGAAAGCCUGACGCAGCGACGACGCGGGAGGGAUGGAAGGCCUUAGUUGUAAACUCUUUCAGCAGGGAAGAGAAGCGAAAAGUGACGGUACCUGCAGAUGAAGAAGAAGAAGAGGCACGGCAACUUACGUGGCCAGCAGCCGCGUAAUAGUAGGGUGGCAAGCGUUGUCCGAAUUAUUGGGCGUAAAGGCUCGUAGGCGGUGGUCGCGUCUGCUGUUGAAAACGCCGGGGCUCAAACUCCGCGCCUGCACAGGGUAGGGCAGACAGAGUGCAGUAGGGGAGACCGGGAAUUCCUGGUUUUGUUUUGGAGCGGUGGAAGAAUGCGCAGAUAUCAGGAGGAACCACCGGUGGCCAAGGCGGGUCUGGGUGUUGUAAACAUGACGCGGAGGAGCGAAGAAAGCUUGGUUAGGAACAGAUUAGAUACCCGGUAGUCCACGCCGUAAACGUGGGGCUAGGUGUGCGGGCUCAUUCAACCGAGUUCCGUGCAGCAGCAAAACGCAUUAAGCGCCCAGCCUGGGGAGUACGGCCGCAAGGCUAAAACUCAAAGGAAUUGACGGGGCCCGCAAAAGCGCCGGAGCAUGUGCUAAUUCGAUGACAACGCGAAGAAACCUUACCUAGGCUUGACAUGUGCGGAAUCCUCCAGAGAUGGUGGGUCCGUAAGGGUCGCACAAGUGGUGCAUGGUUGUACGUCAUGAUAGGUCGGAGAUGUUGGUUAAGUCCCGCAACGAGCGCAACCAUCGUCCCUGUUGCCGCGCGUGUAUGGCGGGGAUCAGGGGACUGCCGGGGUCAAACUCAGCGAGGAAGGUGGGAUGACGUAAAAAUCAUCAGCCCCUAGUCUAGGGAUGCAAACAUGCUAAAUGGCCGGUACAAGGGCUCGAUACCGUGAGGUGGAGAGAAUCCCAAAAAGCCGGUCUCAAGUUCGGAUUGGGGUCUGCAACUCGACCCAUGAAGUUGGAGUCGUAGUAAUCGCAGAAUCAGAAAACGCUGCGGUGAAUACGUGCCCGGGCCUUGUACACACCGCCGUCACGUCACGAAAGUCGGUAACGCCCGAAGCAGGUGCCCACCCUUGUGGAGGGAGCCGUAGAAGGGGGACGGCGAUGGGACGAAGGUCGUAACAAGGUAGCCGACCGGAAGGGGCGGCUG